GCUUCCUCCGUUCAUCUUCUGUGGGAGCUUGCCGAGACUCUGAAAGAAUUUUAAAAUUUAUUGUCCAUCAGGAUAAAACCAGACCCCCAACCCAAACCAUGCUCAACUGAAGACAUGUUUUCCUAAAGGAAAGGUUAGACCGGAAAGAUACCAAUUCCAGUCCAAGUAGUCAACUUUCUCACCAAAGAAACUGUACUGUGUAGUUUCUUCUCAACUUGACCCAAGCUUGGGUCAUUUGGGAAGUGGGAACCUCAGAUGAGGAAUGGCCUCCAUCAGAGUGGCUUGUGUGUAUAUUUGUGGGCAGUUUCUUAAUUAAUGAUUGAUGUGGAA
rnacentral:lncRNA from 1 species